ACCCUUAUUUUAACACAAGGUCUUGGUCUUAAACCUAUUAUUAUCUAAGCCCUAUACUUAUACAUGCAAGCCUCAACACAACGGUGAAACAGCCCACCCCAACCACACAGGAGCAGAUAUCAGGCCAAUAGCCCAUGACAUCAAGCAACCAAGCCACACCCCCACGGGCCCACAGCAGUAGUUAAUAUUGGGCAAUAAGCGUAAGCUUGACCCAGCAAUAGAGCCACAGAGCCGGUUAAUCUCGUGCCAGCGACCGCGGUUACACGACAGACUCAAGAUAAUACACCCGGCGUAAAGCACGACUAAAAUUAAGUUACCCUACUGGGGAUGAAGAAAAACUUGGCCGUAAAAAGCCAUAAGUCACACUAACCAUAUAGCCCUAGUACCAGACACCUUCAACUCGUGAAAGUUAGGGAACAAACUAAGAUUAGAUACCUUACUAUGCCUAACCGUAACAAAACAAUUAAACUACCAAUUGUUCGCCAAAUAACUACAAGUGAAAACUUAAAAUUUAAAAGACUUGACGGUACUUCACAUCAACCUAGAGGAGCCUGUCUAUUAACCGAUAAUCCACGAUUAACCCAACCCGCUCUCGCCCAACAGUCUAUAUACCGCCGUCGCCAGCUUACCUUAUGAAAGAACCAAAGCAAGCCCAACAACAUACAUUAACACGACAGGUCGAGGUGUAACUAAUGAGCCGGACCAAGAUGGGCUACAUUUUCUAACCCAGAAAAAACGAAUAGACUCUGAAACUAGAAACUGAAGGCGGAUUUAGUAGUAAGUUGGGAAUAAACAUGCCCAGCCGAAAUCAACGCAAUGAGGUGCGCACACACCGCCCGUCAUCCCUGUAAAACCCCUAUUAAAUUCAUAAACACCACUUCUUACCAAAACAGGGCAAGUCGUAACAUGGUAAGCGUACUGAAA
rnacentral:ncRNA from 1 species